rnacentral:rRNA from 1 species
GAUGAACGCUAGCGGCAGGCCUAACACAUGCAAGUCGAGGGGCAUCAUGGCGUAGCAAUACGCUGAUGGCGACCGGCGCACGGGUGCGUAACGCGUAUGGAACCUACCCACCGCAGGGGGAUAACCCGCCGAAAGGCGGACUAAUACCCCAUGGUUCCCCGACCCUGCCUGGGGUUGGGGGUAAAGCCUACGGGCGGCGGUGGAUGGCCCUGCGUGCCAUUAGCUGGCUGGUGGGGUAACGGCCCACCAGGGCGACGAUGGCUAGGGGGUCUGAGAGGACGAUCCCCCACACUGGUACUGAGACACGGACCAGACUCCUACGGGAGGCAGCAGUGAGGAAUAUUGGUCAAUGGGCGGAAGCCUGAACCAGCCAUGCCGCGUGCAGGAUGACGGCCUUAGGGUUGUAAAGCUCUUUUACCUAGGGAUGAUAAUGACAGUACCUGGAGAAUAAGACUCCGGCUAACUCCGUGCCAGCAGCCGCGGUAAACUAGUAGUCGU